rnacentral:rRNA from 1 species
UACGUAGGGUGCAAGCGUUAAUCGGAAUUACUGGGCGUAAAGCGUGCGCAGGCGGUUUUGUAAGUCUGUCGUGAAAUCCCCGGGCUCAACCUGGGAAUUGCGAUGGAGACUGCAAGGCUAGAAUCUGGCAGAGGGGGGUAGAAUUCCACGUGCAGCAGUGAAAUGCGUAGAGAUGUGGAGGAACACCGAUGGCGAAGGCAGCCCCCUGGGUCAAGAUUGACGCUCAUGCACGAAAGCGUGGGGAGCAAACAGG